CCCUGGGCCGCUGAGUACCCUGGGCCGCUUGGGUGUUUGGUUGAUUCCGGAUUGUACGAAUGAAGGCCGCCUUCUUUUGUGUUCAGCUGAGAGUUGCUCUGCCUUUGAGGUCCCUAAUUAACCUGAGAGUUGCUCUGCCUUUGAGGUCCCUAAUUAACCUGAGAGUUGCUCUGCCUUUGAGGUCCCUAAUUAACCUGAGAGUUGCUCUGCCUUUGAGGUCCCUAAUUAACCUGAGAGUUGCUCUGCCUUUGAGGUCCCUAAUUAACCUGAGAGUUGCUCUGCCUUUGAGGUCCCUAAUUAACCUGAGAGUUGCUCUGCCUUCGAGGUCCCUAAUUAACCUGAGAGUUGCUCUGCCUUUGAGGUCCCUAAUUAACCUGAGAGUUGCUCUGCCUUUGAGGUCCCUAAUUAACCUGAGAGUUGCUCUGCCUUUGAGGUCCCUAAUUAACCUGAGAGUUGCUCUGCCUUUGAGGUCCCUAAUUAACCUGAGAGUUGCUCUGCCUUUGAGGUCCCUAAUUAACCUGAGAGUUGCUCUGCCUUUGAGGUCCCUAAUUAACCUGAGAGUUGCUCUGCCUUUGAGGUCCCUAAUUAACCUGAGAGUUGCUCUGCCUUUGAGGUCCCUAAUUAACCUGAGAGUUGCUCUGCCUUUGAGGUCCCUAAUUAACCUGAGAGUUGCUCUGCCUUUGAGGUCCCUAAUUAACCUGAGAGUUGCUCUGCCUUUGAGGUCCCUAAUUAACCUGAGAGUUGCUCUGCCUUUGA